rnacentral:rRNA from 1 species
AAUCAACGCUGGCGGCGUGCCUAACACAUGCAAGUCGAACGCGAAAGCCCGCAAGGGUAAGUAGAGUGGCGCACGGGUGAGUAACACGUGGACAACCUGCCUUCGAGUGGGGAAUAACCUUCCGAAAGGAGGGCUAAUACCGCAUAACACCUCGGGACAUAAGUUUUGGGGUUGAAAAGAGCAAUUUGCUCGAAGAGGGGUCCGCGCCUGAUUAGCUAGUUGGUGAGGUAACGGCUCACCAAGGCUCGAUCAGUAGCCGUCCUGAGAGGGAGCACGGCCACACUGGAACUGAGACACGGUCCAGACUCCUACGGGAGGCAGCAGUGGGGAAUUUUUGGCAAUGGGCGAAAGCCUGACCAAGCAACGCCGCGUGGGUGAUGAAGUAUCUUGGUACGUAAAACCCUUUCGGCAGGGACGAACCUAAUGACGGUACCUGCGGAAGAAGCCCCGGCUAACUCCGUGCCAGCAGCCGCCGCUGUAAG